rnacentral:rRNA from 1 species
UACGUAGGGUGCGAGCGUUGUCCGGAAUUAUUGGGCGUAAAGAGCUCGUAGGCGGUGUGUCGCGUCGGCCGUGAAAACCUGCAGCUUAACUGUGGGCUUGCGGUCGAUACGGGCAUCACUGGAGUUCGGCAGGGGAGACUGGAAUUCCUGGUGUAGCGGUGAAAUGCGCAGAUAUCAGGAGGAACACCGGUGGGCGAAGGCGGGUCUCUGGGCCGAUACUG